rnacentral:lncRNA from 1 species
AUUCUGAUUGGGUGAAUUCCUCUUUUCUACCUCCCAUAUCACUUAUGUGUCCUAUUGUGUCACCUAGAUUACUUUUUUUGUUUUGGUCUUUUUAGAGCCACACCCGCAUAUGGAGGUUCCCAGGCUAGGGGUCUAAUCAGAGCUGUUGCCGCCGACCUAUGCCAGAGCCAGAGCAACACCAGAUCCAAGCCUCGUCUGCAACCUAUACCACAGCUCACGGCAAUGCCGGAUCCUUAACCCACUAAGCAAGUCCAGGGAUCAAACCCACAACCUCAUGGUUCCCAGUCAGAUUCAUUUCCACUGCGCCACAACAGGAACUCCUCACCUAGAUUACUUUUAAUUCUUUCUAGUGUGUUUUUAAUUUCAAUUACUGUACUCAUCAGUUUUAACUGGUUUUUUUUUAUAUUGCCAAUUCCUUGUUAAGAUUCUCACUGAUCAUGUGUUCUUUUAUGUAAUUCAGUUGGCAUUCUUAUUACUAAUGCUUUGAAUUCUUUAUCUGAUAAAUUAUUUGUUUCUAUUUAGUUAGAUACUUUUUCAGUUUUUUUCUCAUUCUUUCAUUUGAAACAAAUUCCUCUUUCUUUUGUUUGCUUAACAUUCCCUGUCUCUAUGAAAUUAGUGGUGUCCUUGAAGUGGUGUCCUUGUCAGGGGGGAGGCAGGGCAUCCCUAUAUAGUCUGCAUGUGCCCAGUGACUUUGGUAGGAGAGCUGGAUCUGAUGUGAGCAUGAGUCAAGUCUUUCCCCAUAGUGCACUUGAAGCCACCACCUUGAUAGGAGGUGGGGCUGGUGAUGGAGUGGCUAAAGCCAGUGCCAAAUGUGAGUGGAGUUUCUCCUCUGCUCAGUGCCACCACCACCCUGUUGGGGUCAGGAGUGGGUUCCAAGUUGCUGGAGCAGAAGCCUCAAGGGUUGGGUCUGAGGUGGCUCCAUUCCCUGUGUGUUCUCUCCCGUCUCCCAGUACCAGCACUUUCAUCCCAGGGAGAACAGUGCUGGAGUAAGAGGGGUUGGAACAGGUGCUUAGUAUGAGUUGGGGCACUGGCUGUGGCAGUCCCCGCACCAGCCAGAAAUCUAGACAGCUCCCAAUUCACUGCCCCCAUAAGCGGUGAUAGCUUCCCUUACCCCAUCCAAGUCUCAGCUGGCUACAUACCUCACAACUGCAUAUUUACCUUGGCCAUGGCAGCUCUCACCCUAGUGUGGAACUGCUGGUGGAGUGGACAGGGCCUGAGUGGGUGCUCUACUCAGACUAGGGUGCACACUGGGGCUGUUGCAGGAAACCAGCCAGUACUGGGCAGUUUCAACCUGCUUUCUUUGCGUUGUUUUGGAAAUAAGCAAGCAUGUGCACAUGAUAAGAUUCUAGGUUUUUUAUGGCCCUCCUAUUAGUCCCAUUGGUUCUCAAACCACUAAGGGGACGUGUCUUCUUGAUGUUGCACCCCAGGACUGGGGUGCUCCAUAUAAGGUUUGAAGUACUCAUUGCCCAUGGAGGAUCUCUGAACCACGUAAUCCCCCUGUUCUUCUGUGUCCUCUCUCUAGGAUGCAGAUCCCAACCUGAGCCUUUCUCUUCCCUUCUUUACCUGAUUCUGUGUGGAUCUUUCUUAGAGCCUUGGUUGUAUAAGAGUUUUUCUGCCAGUCUUCAGUUUGUUUUCAGUGAGAAUUACUCCAUAUGUAGAUGUGUUUUUGAUAUGUUCAUGGGGUGGUGGGGAGUGAGCUCUGCCUCCCUCCAUCAUCUUGAUCACUCCCUUUCUAAUUCUGUAUACAUUACAGUGUGCACACCACCAAAAAUUUAAUUUCUUCUCAUCACCAUAGAGUUGAUCCCCUUUAUCCAUUUCUUGCUCUAAAAGUCAAAUUUUAAAUUAAUCUAUUUAACUAUCAUAUAUAACUAAACUUUUACCUUCCCUGACAAUGUUUUUUCCCAAAAACAUUAUCAGGAAGCUUGAUUCACUAUAUUAUAUAGGAACCUCAUAAGUCCAGUUCCUGCGUUUGUCACCAGUGACAGCUGAGCCACUUGGAUCAAAUCUUAAAUUUUGACCUCAGUCCAUUGCAGAUUUUCUGGAGAGCAACCUGAAACUGUCUCAACUGGUGUCUAGAUGUAUUGACCUAAGAUAGUCACUUUAUUUGAGAUUGGGAGCAUGAAUACAAAGUGAGGAUCCACCCCUCCAGAUCUGUAGGCAGUAAGAUUUGAUCAUCAGGUUCAUAAAUCCAAAGUAUGUUUUCCAGAUACAAAUUCUUCUUUUGAAACACAGUAAUAUCAGUUUAAACUGAGGAAAACUCAUUAAUUAAACUUUAUGAUACCCUUUUCAGGAUCUAAUUUAGACUAUCAAUUCUAAUUUUCAAUAACUUAAUGAUAGUAUUUGUACAGUUAACAGGUGGAAUUGUGCUUGGUUUUGAUAUUUCAUAGCAUUUAGAUGGCCAUUUGCCUAAAUUUUUCUUUGGCCUCAUGCACCUCAUCUUUGAAAUGGAAAGGACAAUGCCUGCCUUGCAGGGUUCUUGUGGCUUCAGUACAAUACUAUAGUAAAGGACUUAUCACAAUCUAAGUCAGUGUAUUUUCACUCAGCAAAGUUAGUACCCUUCUUUGGCCUUGUUUAUUUUAUCCAAUUUCUUGUUAGACAAUCAACUGCCAUGAUUAAACCCUUGCUCCUUAUUGGUUGUAAACAGUACCUAUUGUGCAUGUCACAGAACACAGGUGCUAACCCACAAACAUCACUGAGAUGAAGGGUGAAUUCUUAUGUUGUAAGAUAAUACCCACAGCAUUCAGUUCUCCUUGAACUGUUUUAAGAUGCUCCAUCUAAUGGACCCUUCCUGAGUGAGAGGCAAAGUAAACCUUUUUAACUAUAUAUGACCAAUUAUGUGCAAAAUUAUGUGCAAAAAAAAACCCCCCUAAACUAACAAAAUUAACUGAAAUUCUAAGGACUGUGAUAAGAACAAAAAAGAUUCAUUCCUACAAUGCUUAAGUUCUUUGGUACAUUAUUUGAUAAAUGAAUUUUUAAAAGUAAAAUGGAAACUCCUCUAAAUGGCAUUUAGGUGUCUUCAGAAGUUUAUUCCACCUGCUUUCCCACUUUAUCCCUGCUUUUCCUUCCAAAUUCACCCACCUUCUGCUUCACCUACAGAGCAACUUUCACUCUUUUCAUUACAUACUUUAAAUUUUCCCACCUCUGUGCCUUUUCAUUCACUAUUCUCUUUGACUCCAUUGUUCUUUCCAUCAUCUAUACCUGAUAAAGCUAAACUGCUUGUAUCAACAAUUCUGCAGACUGUGUAGUGAGUAUUUCUGUAAGAGUCCACAUUGAAAAGGCAUUGGUUCAGCUUUAAGAUCAGUUCCUGCUUCUCCUCCAGGAUCAUGUCCUUGCUGCCAUCGGAGCAGGUUCUCCACCUGGUCAGGGGAGAAAAGAAAGUUCAGGUCCCAUUCUCACAGAUUUAUCUGUCUCUAUUGCAGUGAGCUCUGUGGCUGGAAUGAGUGCCUCACAAGGUGGACUGUCAUUAUUGUCCUAGUUGUUUAGAAAAUAUGCCAUCACCUGAAGUCAAACUGAAAAAGAAUAAAUGUGCCAACUGCUUUGACUGCACUGGCUGUUCACACACCAUCUCCAUUCAGGCAAGAAGCAUCACCACACAGCUUCCAGAUGACCCAGUCAAGAUCACCAUGAAGAAAGCCCAUCAUCUGGCCAAUGGAUUUUGUCACUGGACAUCUAGAGAUGUGGGCAUGGCAGAAAAAUCUGGUUCUAGUGAUCGUUCGUGGGAACCUGAAAAUCCUUACAUGCAACAGAUGAACAAACUGAUUAAAUAUUACCAGCAGCUUGUUCAUAAAGAGAAUGUUGAGUGAGCAUGAAGGAAUCUGACACUGCCUACAAACUACAUAUCUUUGGCUUUUUUGAAAUGUAUUAUUAAUAUGACGGACAAAUACUGUCUUGGAAUCAGGCUUCAGGGACCACAAAUUGGUACAACCCUCAGUAGUACCCUUGCUGGACUUUCCUUUAUAGAAGAAGAAGACCAGAAAGAGAUAAAGAUUGACCCAUCUCAGGCUGUAGAUGAAAUGGAACUUUUACCUGAAGACAGUUAUACGAGACCAACAAAUUUAACAGAGAUGACCACCCUCCAACAGCACCUCUUACAGCCUGGCUUCCAUCCAAUCUAUGCCUCACAGCUCUGUCUUCGGCACAAGCAUUUUCUGAUCAAAUGGUCCCUCUGUUGCAGGAAAUGUGAACCUGAUUUGAGAAAACCAGAAUUUAAUCCAAUAUCUAUCAAAUUCAAAAUCCAGCUUUUUUGCUGUCAUUUGUAUCCCAGAAGUGAGAAUCAUGUC